UUUUGUUUUAAAUCUCACGAGUUUUAACCUUCAAACACAUUAAUUAAAAUAUUAAAACAUAAUUAAAAUAGAAAUUAUUCACAACGAUUUUUGGAAAAAUUUUACAAUUUAUUACUUAUGAAAUGUUCGCGUUCAACUGUGGUCAUUGUUAGUUUCAAAUCAUACGUACUGUAUGUGGUUUUAACUAAUAUAAGUACUUCAAUUUCGACAAUAUUAACAUUCUUUUAAAAUAUAAAAUCAGCAGGUGGAGGAAAUGGAUUGGUAUCCGAGCCCGAGGAAAAAACAUAGGCCUAUACAUUGGGAUUGGAGGUCUAACUACAUAAGUAACAAUAGCUCCAUUUGGCGUAAGGGUAUCUUCGUUAUUUUCCGGCUAAAAGAAAAAAUGUUCAAAUUAGAGAGCCAUCAUGCUCAUAUCUUCGUUUUGCCUCAGUUCUGAUUCAUGCGAAUGUUCCCUUUGCCUAUAUCGUCUUUCAUCAGAUCUGGAGGUGUUUCUCUCCCUAGAUGAUCUAUUGUCGUGAUGCCGAUCUUGACAUUAUAUAAGUAAAUAGUCACAAAUUAGCUCGAGAUUAAUUUAAUAAAUAUUGUUUAUUGUAAGUGUUAUGGACACACUUCUGCGAGACGAUCGAGAUCUCUUAAGCCUACGAUCGCUGAACGAGUUUCUUUUGUGAUCUCUUACUCUGUUUCUGAAAAACAGUGAGUGAAAAUUGAAUAAUUUAUUGGGCGUGUCGACGAUUGUUAAUUCGAGCCUUUCGUGAAGAUCAAGAGCUCGAGUAUACCCUUGAAUUCAGUAGGCCUAUAGCCCCUCCUUGACAGUAUGUAAUAAUGUAAAUUUAAACGAGUACUUAUACCUAACACAGCAAGAAGGCGAAUUUCCAUUUCUAUUCUCUUGCGAGCAGUUACAAUUUUUGCUACGUGAUCUAUUGUAGAAUUUUUUUACUGUUCCGUGAAGGGCUUUUGCAUUCACGUCAGUUCACGUCCCGAAGAUUCUAUAAAAUUUUUAAUUUAUGCUUAAAAUGAACUGUGUCAUUUUCGUAUUAUGCUCUCAAUAAUAAAAAUAUACUCAGAUAAUACAAAAUCAAACAAGAACACAGUUUUCAGAUACUACAUAAUUGUUUCACAAUGCGAUGAAAAGUACAAUUUUUUAGCGAAUUGGGAACUUAAAAGGAACUGAAAUUCAUUUUCAAAGAAAAUUUCGCGAGUUCAGAAGCUCCAAGCGUGCUUUGUAAAUUUAAAUGGGUUAAAAAAUGAUAAUUUAUAAUGACUUAAUUUUUAAAGCACUCUCAUUUACAUUCGACGUUUAAAUUGGAAACAUUCUGGAGGCGUCAUUUAAAACAUUAUUUCUAAAAACAAACCAUUUUGAUUUUUUAGAAAUCUUUCAAAAAAAAUUAAUUAUGUAAUUGGUAAUUAGAAUUGAAUAAUUAUUUUAAAUUAUAAUAAGAAUAUAGAACUUUGUUCACCAUUAUAUUCUUCAGAGUUCCCUGGCAGGUCAAACUUAAAAGUCAUUACAAAAUGACCAAGUCAGGGAAAGGGGGUGCAGGUGCUCAAUUUUGAAAAAUUUUGCAUCCGUUUUUGAAGAUAUUUGUUCUGAUUAUUAGUAGUAUAAUACCUACUUGAGGUCAACCAAUUAUUUUAUAUAUCAUACAUACUAUAAGCACUUCAUACUUACACAGGUACAAUGCUAAUAUCCAUUUCUAUUCUGUUGUGAGCUGCAGUUACGUGAUCUAUUUGGUAAAAAUUUUUCAUUGUUCCGUAAAAGGCUUUUGCGUUCACGUUCCGAAGAUUCUAUAAAAUUUCAAAUUUAUGCUUAAAAUGAACUGGGGCAUUUUCGUGUCAAGUUCUUAAUAAAUAAAAGUAAAAAUAUACCCAGAUAAUACGAAAUGAAACAAGAACACAGUUUUCAGAUACCUAUUUGUUUCGCAAUACGAUAAAAAGUGCAAUUUUUCAGCGAAUUGGGAGCUUAAAAUAAGGAACUGAAAUUCAUUUUCAAAGAAAAUUUCGCGAGUUCAGAAGCUCCAAGCGUGCUUUGUAAAUGUAAAUGGGUUAAAAAAUAAUAAUUUAUAAUGACUUAAUUUUUAAAGCACUCGCUGUAUACGUAUGUAUACGGCGUUUAAAUCAGAAACAUUCUGGCGGCGUCAUUUAAAACAGUGGUUAUUUCUAAAAACAAACCAUUUUGAUUUUUUGAUAAUCUUCCAAGGAAAAAUAAAAAUUAAUUAAUAAUAUCAGAAUUGAAUAAUUUUAAAUUAAAAUAAGAAUAUAGAAAUUUGUUCACCAUAUGACUGUAUUCUUUAGAGUUCCCUAGUUGGCCAAACUUAAUUCAUUACAAAAUGACCAAAUCAGGGAAACAGGGUGCUCAAUUUUGAAAAAUUUUGCAUCCGUUUUUGAAGAUAUUUGUUCUGAUUAGUAACAUAAUAUCAAUAUCUACUUGAAGUCAACCAAUUAUUUUAUAUAGCAUACUGUACUUCAUACUUACAAUGAUGAAGACGGUGAGGUUAUUAAUUAUAGCAAUAUUCAAAUUUCUUAUGAUUUAUGAAUCCAAUACUCUUUGUCUUUAUUAAAAUACAUCAAUCCUAUCCUAUCUUUACCAUGCUAUCCUCCCUCUCAUUUCCUUAUGGAAUUUGAGUGAUUUUACAUACAACGUCCAGUUUUUCUCAAGUUUUGGAUUUAGUCAUUAUACCUACUUGAAAAAAUGUUCUCUCAAGUUUUUUUUUUUUCAUUUCAAAUAAAAUUGAUCAUUCGCGCAUUUCAGAAGAUGUUCGAAAAUUCAAGACUGAGGGAGGGAUCUUUGAAGCUGAAAAUGGUAUGCCCAGAAAAUUUAAGCAAAAAAAUAUUUGAGAAAGAAUUCUAACCCCCCUGCCCUCCCUCUAAGGAAAGUUAUAGCAAUUAUGAAAAUAGAGGCUGGAAUUGAGAAAUUAUUUUAAAUAAAAUUGAUAAUAACAACAGUAGGUAUCAAAAUUUAUGUAUAUAAAUAGAAUAUAUCCCCGCCAUUCAAUACAUUACUCAAUAAUUUAAGUAUGAAUGUACAUUUUGACAAUGUGGUUUGGUUAAAAAACAAUUGUAAAAAUGGUCCAUAACUGUUAAUGGAGGUAAGAAAUGAAAAAUUAUUGAAAAAAAUAAUGAUAAUUAAAGUAACAAAAUUUAAUGAUAUAGAUAGAGUAAAUCCCCGCCAUUCAAAACAUUACUCAACAAUUUGAGUAGGAAACCAUGAUUUUGAAAAUUAAGUUUGACAAAAAUGAAAUAUUUUAUAUAAUUUAAAUGAGAAAUGUAUAUGAUUGAAAAUGGUAAUGCUUCAAGAAAUUUGCAGUAAUAUUCUCUUGUCAAAAAAAAAGGGCGGACAAAACCUUUUUCUAAAUUUUUUUUACUCAUCAUAAUAAAUCAUUUCCCUUUCAUUAUGAAUUACAAUUUAAGAAAUUUGUGGUUUUGUCCGCCCCUUUUUUUUUGGACAAGAGAAUAUUACUGCAAAUUUCUUGAAGCAUUACCAUUUUCAAUCAUUAGUCCAGUAACUUUAGCAUUGAAUAGUGAAUCUCUAGGUGGCAAGCUGAUUUUUGGUAUACUGGUCCAUUUUGAUGUCCUGAAAACGAAUCCGAGGAGUCCCCAACUGUCCGAGGUGAGCUUUCCCCCAAAUUGUGGAUCUUAGCCCCCCAAAAUAGGUUUUUGGCCAAUAUAUCGAAAAAUAUCGACUCUAGCGCAAAAAUGAUUGAAGAAUGUUGUUCUACGUUAAAUUUUCGAUCUAUUGAUAUAUCAACUGUCUUUCUCCCCCCAAGGGGGGUGGAACUACAACCAUUCAAAAAAGGGGGGUUUCCUGAAAAAUACAUAAAGGAUAUAGGCGCCUGAGGGGGGUGAAAUGGUCCCCGAAAGCGUUCGAGUUGAUAUCAGCAUGGAAGGUGGGUCCCAUCGAGAAACUUCCGCGUGAAAAAUUUCAGAUCGGCACCACCUCCCCUUUUUGGGGAACCCCCCUUUUCUGUAAUUUCAAUACCAAUUUUCUCAGUCCCAUUUCAACCGAUUUUGAAAAUUUUUCAGUAUGUUAUGUAUAUUCAUAGUAGGUAUCCCCACAAAAAUUUUCAACCCCCUCCCCUCAUAUUUACCCCUCAAAAUGGUGUGAAAAUGUGCCUUGGGGAGGGUUGGGGGUAAAAUGGAAAUUUCGGGGAAAAUGACUAAGUAUUAAUGAGUAGGGUGUCGUUUUCUUAUGAUUCGAUACCGCUGAGCACAAACAUGACGUCAGAUUUUUUGCUACACUCAUCUAGCCCUCUCCACAGCACAUAGCCCCCUCAAUUUAUACUAUUUGAAAUAAGUUGAAAAACGCUAUUUUGAGGAGUAAAUAUGAGAGGAGGAGGUUGAAAAUUUUUGUGGGGAUACCUACUAUGAAUAUACAUAACAUACUGAAAAAUUUUCAAAAUCGGUUGAAAUGGGGCUGAGAAAAUUGGUAUUGAAAUUACAGAAAAGGGGGGUUCCCCAAAAAGGGGAGGUGGUGCCGAUCUGAAAUUUUUCACGCGGAAGUUUCUCGAUGGGACCCACCUUCCAUGCUGAUAUCAACUCGAACGCUUUCGGGGACCAUUUCACCCCCCUCAGGCGCCUAUAUCCUUUAUGUAUUUUUCAGGAAACCCCCUUUUUUGAAUGGUUGUAGUUCCACCCCCCUUGGGGGGAGAAAGACAGUUGAUAUAUCAAUAGAUCGGAAAUUUAACGUAGAACAGCAUUCUUCAAUCAUUUUUGCGCUAGAGUCGAUAUUUUUCGAUAUAUUGGCCAAAAACCUAUUUUGGGGGGCUCAGAUCCACAAUUUGGGGGAAAGCUCACCUCGGACAGUUGGGGACUCCUCGGAUUCGUUUUCAGGACAUCAAAAUGGACCAGUAUACCAAAAAUCAGCUUGCCGCCUAGAGAUUCACUAUAGCCCCUAUUUUUUUGCUAAAGUUACUGGACUACAUAUACAUUUCUCAUUUAAAUUAUAUAAAAUAUUUCAUUUUUGUCAAACUAUUGGUCUCUAUUUUUAAUUAAAUGCCUAGCAAGGGGGUAGAUUCCGCAAAUGAUAUAGAGAUAUUUUGAUUGCAAAUAAAUCAACACUGAUUUCAUACAAAAUAUAUUCUUUAGACAAGGCUACAGGGAAAACUAUAAGUUGUAGAGAGCUGAAAUUUUAAAUAUAGGUACCUUGAACAUAGGACUAGUGCCUUUUGUUAUUUUCGGGAAAUUUUAAACAUUUUUAGGGGGUCAAAAACGAGGAAAAAGAGUGAAAAUUGAGAAUUUUAAAAUUUUCUCGACGACAAUGUCUUGAUUAAGACGAUUCAUAACAGUAUUCAAAAUUUCAUCAAAAUCCGUUCAGUAGUUUUGCCAUAAAACAGCUUACAAAAAAUUCUGCUAUAAAUUUAGGGUAAAUGCAAAAUGUAUUUUCGUAUCUUAAAAACUAUUCAACAUACAGUAUUGGUUUUGGUGUACCUAGAUAGAGCUAGUAAAAAUAAGCCUAGGUACUAUUUCAUUUUGUAUUAAAAAUGUACCGUUUACGAGAUACAUAAUUUUUAAAAUAAAUUUCUAAAUCAUUACAGAAUAAUAAGCAGUGCACGCUCGGCCGUAUAUCGGACAUUCUCGGCCUUUUCCGUGGAUUUCCAUGGAAAUCUCGGAACGGGAGGGCGGGGGGGGGGGCACGAGCGUGCCGCUUAGAUCGAUUCUGAAACUUGAAGGCCCGAAAUUGGUAGGAAUCAAUAGGUAACUUCACAUUACUUAUUAUGUACAUACAAUUUUUCGUACCUACUUUUUUUUCAAUACUGGAAGAGGAGGUUCGUAUUUGAAUUUUGAAAAAUGAAUAAGUAAAUACUUUAUAUUAUUUUUGUGAAAAAUUGAAUUUUUUGACAGUUUUUGUAUUCGCCUUUUGUGUGCUGGGCGGUUUUCCCUUCAGGGUCCCGUCAGCGCGCAUGCGUGAAAACUUGCAAAUUUUUCACAUGUAAAUAUUGUAAAUGAGUGUUCCAUGGGUAUCUAACUAUCUAUCUGCCACUCCUACUCUGUAUAAGUACGUAGGUAAAAUAAUAGAUUAGAUUUUGUGACCAUACCCGGGAUUUUUUUAAAAACCAUUUACACACUAUACUUAUAGACGGCUACCUAGCCGCCAAGUCUAUAAUUGGGGCCUUGGAAGUCUAGUCGGGCGGCAGCCGCCAUGUCUACAAUUACGUGUUAAAUAAAAUUAAAAAUUAAAUUAAUUACUUACUAUUAUUUUUAAUUGAGUUUGUUGUCUGAAUCUUUAGAAAUAUUGAAAUUGAAACGAAGAGUUGCUUGGGAGGUAGAAUUUUUACUUUCGCAAUUCCAGAAUUUAAAUUUUUAAAAAAAAUGAAUACAGUUUUUAUUUGAAAAAUAACAAAACAGUUUGCAAUGAAUGUAGGGUGUAUGUAUGAAAAAAUUAGCAAAAAAAAAAAAAAAAAAAAAAAACAGAAAAAUUAUGGGAAUUACCUAAUAAAUCCAACAAAAAAUGAAAUUCCCCUAGAGUAUGAAAGAGGAAUGAAAAACAAGAAAUGAAAAAAAUUGAUGAAUAAAACAAUAAAAAAAUAUGAUAUUAAAUAUGAAAACAAUAAUUAGCAAAGGAAAUUGAGAGACAUCAAAAUGAAAAAAAAAACCAACUAAAAUUAAAUCUGAAAACUAAAAUGCAAAAAUAAAACUGAAAACAGAAAAUUGAAAAUUAUAAAUGAAAACAAGAAGAAAUCAUGAUAAUAAAGUGAAAACAAACAAAGAAAAUUUAAAGAUAUCAAAACAAAAAAUAAAUAAAAUUGAAUCGAAAACCAAAAAUGCAAAAAGUAAACUGAAAACAAAAAAUGAAAAAAUGAAAAAUGGAAGCCUUGAUAGGAGAUAGUACAUGUGAAAAUGUAGGUAAUGAAAAACUGAAGAAAUGGUUAGAAGGGUCUCACAGUAGUACAUUCCAGUCGAUCAAGCUGUUGAAAGCGAUUUUGUGUAUGAAUGAUUCCCAUUCUGGACACUAUUACAAAGAAAUUUCGUCACAGUGUCCAUUUUUCCUCCCCCCUUCCCAUUUUUCUGAGGUGCACCAUCCCAAUAUUAGUAACUGGUGUAUUGUUUUCCCAUGAAAAAGAAUUUCCAAUAAAAAUGUUCCUUAAUAACAUUAGUAUAUAGUGAUAAUAACAAUUUUCUAAAAUAAGAAAAAUAUUGUACGGUAUAAAACACUGCAUAGGUAGGCUACAUAAAAAUUACUUGCUACUGAAUAAUAUUGCUACUACAUUAAUGCCCAGAAAAUGCCUUCUGGUGGUACAUUUAAUUGCGUUAUGAGUAUUUCUGUUAUAUUAAAUGAAGGCAUCUGUAACAAAUCACAACCAAACAUUCAUUAACAUCAGAGAGCUGUGGGACCCAAACGAUUUCGGGAUAGGAUUUCGGUUUUGGGAUUGAAAAUUUUUCAGUUUAGGAUUGAAUUCAUUUCGGGAUUGAAUUCGUUUCGGGAUUAGUUCUUCAAAUUUUUAUUUCGGUUUCGGGUUUUGGUUCUGGGUUGAAUCCGUUUCGGUUUCGGCCUUCGGGAAUUUCAUUUCAAUUUUCAACCAAUUUUGAGCCCAAAUUCACUAUUGGACCUUGCAGGGGUCUAAAAAAUGGGAGGUUUUGACGUGAAAAAUCUAGUGGAGUGAUUAGUUUGAUCAUAAUUACUUAUAUGAUAGGUACCUAUAUUUAUAAACACAAAAAUAAUGCUCAAAUGAGGCGUUUAUUCUUCUUUUUUAUAGUAUACGAACACUGGAAUUAGUGGUGACGCACCUCCAGUGUUCUGUUUAUGGAAGGAUGAAUAAAUACAAAUACCAUGUACUUGGUCGCAAAACAGAAACUUAGCAGUUAAAACGGUGGUCUUCUUAUGUGGCCCAGACUAAUAAAAGGGUCUCAGUAGUACAUUAUUCCAAUUGAUCAAGCUUUUAAAAGCGAUUUUAUGAAUGAUUCUCAUUCUAUAGGCACUACUAGGUACAAGGAAAUUUCGUCACAGAGUCCAUUUUUCCUCCCCAUCCCCAUUUUCCUAGGAUGCAUCCACCCAAUAUAAGUAACUGGUGUAUUGUCUUCCCAUGAAAAAAAUUUUCCAAUCUACAAUUUCGGUUCGUAGAAAAUUUUCAUUUCAGGCUCUCCUUUUCCAUCAAAUUCGAACCAUUUCUCACAAAAAAAAAUCGUUAAAAUUCUUAUUUUGCGAUUUUACAAAACGUUUUAGAAAUAGAGUAAAAUUUAACGCAACAAAAUGUGUUCAGAAUAAAAUCACUUUUUGAAAGAGCCAUACAUAUAUCGAUAAUUUUUCUCAUCCCUCCCCAUACCCCUACCCAUCCUAGUAAACCCAGUCCCCCUCUCAAAAAAAUACAAAUACAUAUUGUUUCAAUCAAAGGAGUGUUUAAAUAAAAGUUAUGUAUUUCUCUUCUCACUUUCUCAGAGCCCAAUCUGAAGUAAAUCACUCCCCUAUUUUACAGUAAUUACGAAUUGCACAUAAUUAUGCAGCAUAUAAUUUUACUCCAUUAAUAAUUUUAAGUUGUAAUAUUCUUUUGGAGUAUUAGUACCUAUUAUUUUCGUUUUUGGGGGGGGGGGGAGGGGGGAAUCUGUUACAUAUUUAACUAACUCGGUUAAUACAAACUACUAGCAAUUCUCUCCAUAAAUACCCAAUGAGUGCUUCAUAGAUGGAACUGGCAACUAGCUACAUACAAGCAACCUCAUCACAAUGAUACGAAAAUUAUGAGUAGUACGUUGCUCAGUUAUUGGCUGGAAUCAGCAAACAUAUCAAAAAAGUUUGAUUUGGUUGCCAAGUUGGACUGCUGAGAAAGAAUUAAAAAUGAAUGUGGGGUGUAUAGGAUGAAAAAACGAGUAAAAAAACAAUAAAAAAUUAAAACAGAAAAAUUAUGGGAGUUAAUAAAUCCAAUAAAAAAUUAAAUUCCCCUAUAGUAUAAAAGAGGAAUGAGAAACAAGAAAUGAAAAAAAUUGAUGAAUAAAACAAUAAAAAAAUAUGAUAUUAAAAGUGAAAACAAUAUAAUCAGCAAAGAAAAUUGAACGACAAUAACGACAUCAAAAUGAAAAAAAAACAACCAAAAUUAAAUCUGAAAACUAAAAUGCAAAAAUAAAACUGAAAACAGAAAAUUGAAAAUUAUAAAUGAAAACAAGAAGAAAUCAUGCUAAUAAAGUGAAAACAAACAAAGAAAAAAUUUAAAAAUAUCAAAACAAAAAAUAAAUAAAAUUGAAUCGAAAACCAAAAAUGCAAAAAGUACCUAAUUAAACUGAAAACAAAAAAUUAAAAAUGAAAGCCUUAAUACAAGUAGGAGAUAGUCAAUGUGAAAUUGUAAUGAAAAAUUGAAGAAAUGGUUAGAAGGGUCUCAGUAGUAACUAGUAUGUAUGCAUUCCAGUCGAUCAAGCUGUUGAAAAAGCGAUUUUGUGUAUGAAUGAUUCCUAUUCUGGACACUAUUACAAAGAAAUUUCGUCACAGUGUCCAUUUUUUCCUCCCCCUUUCCCAUUUUUCUAGGGUUCACCCACCCAAUAUUAGUAACUGGUGUAUUGUUUUCCCAUGAAAAAAAAUUUCCAAUAAAAAUGUUCCUUACCUAAUAACAUAUAUUAGGUAUAUGUAGUUAUAGUAACAAUUUUCUAGAAUAAUAAAAGUGUUGUACAGUAUAAAACACUGCAUAGGUAGGCUACAUAAAAAUUACUUGCUACUGAAUAAUAUUUAGGUACUUACAUUAUUUUACGGUUUUGGAUAACAUUCCACCCAUCUUUACCAUAAUUUAUUUCUGAAUUUUCUUCAUUGGGCCUUUCAUUUUUGGAAAAUAACAUAUGUGACCCGCUCUGACAAAAUCGACCAUUUCGACGAAAAAAAGUGUCCAAAAUAAUGACGUUUAAAAUGAGUUUUAAGGGUUGAAAGAUCAGAUUUUUGAGAAAAAAACAUUUUUUGAAAUUUUGUCGAAACGGUCGAUUUUGUCAGAGCGGGUCACAUAUGAAUACAUAGUUAUAAUAACAAUCUUCUAGAAUAAGAAAAAUGUUGUACAAUAUUAUAUAAAACACUGCAUAGGUACAUAAAAAUCACUUCUUAUGCUACCUACUGAAUAAUAUUUAGGUACUUACAUAAGGUUUUGGAUAACAUUCCACCCAUCUUUACCAUAAUUUAAUUGUAACUUUCCUUCGUUGGACCUUUCAUUUUUUUUUUUUUUGAACUUAUGGAAAAUAAAAUAUGAAUACAUAGGUAAUCAAAGAAGUGUUUAAAUAAGAGUGAUGUAUUUCUCACUUUCUCAGAGUCCAAUCUGAAGUAAAUGAGUUCCUCAUUUUACAGUAAUUACGAAUUGCACAUAAUUAUGCAAGCAUAUAAUUUUACUCCAUUGAUAAUAUCUUAAGUUGUAAUAUUCUUCUGGAGUAGGUAAUUAGUACCUAGUGUAUAAGUAAAGCAUAUUGUUCCUUUCAAUUAAUAUAACUUCAUAUUUGUUGAAA